UGUAAUUUAGUGUAAUAUGCAUUUAAGUUUUUGAAAUUUAAGGUUAAGUUUAAUUCUUUAAUUUACAA
rnacentral:tRNA from 1 species